UAGUCGCCGCGGUAAUACGAAGGGGGCUAGCGUUGUUCGGAAUUACUGGGCGUAAAGCGCACGUAGGCGGACAUUUAAGUCAGGGGUGAAAUCCCGGGGCUCAACCUCGGAACUGCCUUUGAUACUGGGUGUCUUGAGUGUGGAAGAGGUAAGUGGAAUUGCGAGUGUAGAGGUGAAAUUCGUAGAUAUUCGCAGGAACGCCAGUGGCGAAGGCGGCUUACUGGUCCACAACUGACGCUGAGGUGCGAAAGCGUGGGGAGCAAACAGGAUUAGAUACCCCGGUAGUCCCUGUCUCUUAUAU
rnacentral:rRNA from 1 species